AACGAACGCCGGCGGCAUGCCUAACACAUGCAAGUCGAACGAAGCCUUCGGGCUUAGUGGCGCACGGGUGCGUAACGCGUGGGAAUCUGCCCUUGGGUUCGGAAUAACAGUUAGAAAUGACUGCUAAUACCGGAUGAUGUCUUCGGACCAAAGAGUUAUCGCCCAAGGAUGAGCCCGCGUAGGAUUAGGUAGUUGGUGGGGUAAUGGCCCACCAAGCCGACGAUCCUUAGCUGGUCCGAGAGGAUGAUCAGCCACACUGGGACUGAGACACGGCCCAGACUCCUACGGGAGGCAGCAGUGGGGAAUAUUGGACAAUGGGCGAAAGCCUGAUCCAGCAAUGCCGCGUGAGUGAUGAAGGCCUUAGGGUUGUAAAGCUCUUUUACCAGGGAUGAUAAUGACAGUACCUGGAGAAUAAGCUCCGGCUAACUCCGUGCCAGCAGCCGCCGUAAGAC
rnacentral:rRNA from 1 species